UGGGUGGUGGUGCAUGGC
rnacentral:ncRNA from 2 species